rnacentral:rRNA from 1 species
AGAGUUUGAUCAUGGCUCAGAUUGAACGCUGGCGGCAGGCCUAACACAUGCAAGUCGAACGGUAACAGGAAGAAGCUUGCUUCUUUGCUGACGAGUGGCGGACGGGUGAGUAAUGUCUGGGAAACUGCCUGAUGGAGGGGGAUAACUACUGGAAACGGUAGCUAAUACCGCAUAACGUCGCAAGACCAAAGAGGGGGACCUUCGGGCCUCUUGCCAUCGGAUGUGCCCAGAUGGGAUUAGCUUGUUGGUGGGGUAACGGCUCACCAAGGCGACGAUCCCUAGCUGGUCUGAGAGGAUGACCAGCCACACUGGAACUGAGACACGGUCCAGACUCCUACGGGAGGCAGCAGUGGGGAAUAUUGCACAAUGGGCGCAAGCCUGAUGCAGCCAUGCCGCGUGUAUGAAGAAGGCCUUCGGGUUGUAAAGUACUUUCAGCGGGGAGGAAGGGAGUAAAGUUAAUACCUUUGCUCAUUGACGUUACCCGCAGAAGAAGCACCGGCUAACUCCGUGCCAGCAGCCGCGGUAAUACGGAGGGUGCAAGCGUUAAUCGGAAUUACUGGGCGUAAAGCGCACGCAGGCGGUUUGUUAAGUCAGAUGUGAAAUCCCCGGGCUCAACCUGGGAACUGCAUCUGAUACUGGCAAGCUUGAGUCUCGUAGAGGGGGGUAGAAUUCCAGGUGUAGCGGUGAAAUGCGUAGAGAUCUGGAGGAAUACCGGUGGCGAAGGCGGCCCCCUGGACGAAGACUGACGCUCAGGUGCGAAAGCGUGGGGAGCAAACAGGAUUAGAUACCCUGGUAGUCCACGCCGUAAACGAUGUCGACUUGGAGGUUGUGCCCUUGAGGCGUGGCUUCCGGAGCUAACGCGUUAAGUCGACCGCCUGGGGAGUACGGCCGCAAGGUUUAAAACUCAAAUGAAUUGACGGGGGCCCGCACAAGCGGUGGAGCAUGUGGUUUAAUUCGAUGCAACGCGAAGAACCUUACCUGGUCUUGACAUCCACAGAACUUUCCAGAGAUGGAUUGGUGCCUUCGGGAACUGUGAGACAGGUGCUGCAUGGCUGUCGUCAGCUCGUGUUGUGAAAUGUUGGGUUAAGUCCCGCAACGAGCGCAACCCUUAUCCUUUGUUGCCAGCGGUCCGGCCGGGAACUCAAAGGAGACUGCCAGUGAUAAACUGGAGGAAGGUGGGGAUGACGUCAAGUCAUCAUGGCCCUUACGACCAGGGCUACACACGUGCUACAAUGGCGCAUACAAAGAGAAGCGACCUCGCGAGAGCAAGCGGACCUCAUAAAGUGCGUCGUAGUCCGGAUUGGAGUCUGCAACUCGACUCCAUGAAGUCGGAAUCGCUAGUAAUCGUGGAUCAGAAUGCCACGGUGAAUACGUUCCCGGGCCUUGUACACACCGCCCGUCACACCAUGGGAGUGGGUUGCAAAAGAAGUAGGUAGCUUAACCUUCGGGAGGGCGCUUACCACUUUGUGAUUCAUGACUGGGGUGAAGUCGUAACAAGGUAACCGUAGGGGAACCUGCGGUUGGAUCACCU